rnacentral:rRNA from 1 species
UGGGGAAUUUUGGACAAUGGGCGCAAGCCUGAUCCAGCCAUUCCGCGUGCAGGACGAAGGCCUUCGGGUUGUAAACUGCUUUUGUACGGAACGAAAAGCCCUUCUCUAAUACAGAGGGGUCAUGACGGUACCGUAAGAAUAAGCACCGGCUAACUACGUGCCAGCAGCCGCGGUAAUACGUAGGGUGCAAGCGUUAAUCGGAAUUACUGGGCGUAAAGCGUGCGCAGGCGGUGAUGUAAGACAGGUGUGAAAUCCCCGGGCUUAACCUGGGAAUUGCAUUUGUGACUGCAUAGCUAGAGUACGGUAGAGGGGGAUGGAAUUCCGCGUGUAGCAGUGAAAUGCGUAGAUAUGCGGAGGAACACCGAUGGCGAAGGCAAUCCCCUGGACCUGUACUGACGCUCAUGCACGAAAGCGUGGGGAGCAAACA